GCAUAAUCAUUUGCCGUUUAAUUGAUGGCUGGAAUGAAUGAAUAUACGAGAGCUCAACUGUCUCAUUUUUACAAAUAUAAAUUGACCCUCAAGUGAAGAGACUUGAAUUCUUAAAAAAGACGAAAAGACCCUAUAGAGCUUUACCUGAAAUUUAUAUCUUAUAUAAUAAAGGUUUAGUUGGGGCAACUAGAGAGCACCUAAAACCUCUCUUUAAGUUUACUAAUAAUGAUCCGUUUUUACGAUAAGUAGAAAAAGCUACCUUAGGGAUAACAGGCUAAUCCUCUUUAAGAGACCAUAUUGACAAGAGGGA
rnacentral:rRNA from 1 species